rnacentral:lncRNA from 1 species
AAUGGAUGGGUGGCUGGAUGGGUACCACAAAGCCUCUGGUGACGGUGGAGCAAAGGAAUAGAUGGUGAAUGUCUCAUACCCACUUCGGAUCCAGAACAGGCCUAGGAGAGACUCAGGUGGGAUCUGCUGCUGAGGAAGGGGGUUGGGGCUGAAGUUGGAGGAGGAGGGCAGCUCUAAACCACCUGUUCCUGGCUCUAGGCCUCUCAGGCCAGACAGCC